ensembl:lncRNA
UUUUUUUUUUUUUUUUUUUUUUUUUUUUGGUUCUCUUGCAAGACCUUAUGGAAUGGAUGGAAAUUUUAAUUCUAUUAUAGAAGUACAAACCCCUUUUUGGUAUAUUGUAAGUAGAUGAUGAUAUUCGGCUACUGACUGCCUUUUCAGUAAUGUGGUGGUCUAAAUUCUGAAUUCUAUUAUUUUACAUCUGCAGCAACUGAAAGGGUAUUUUUUAUAAACAGAAAACUUCACCUCAUAAAAAUUCAUUACAUAAGGGCAUAAACAAGUACUUUUCCUUGCAGUCAUUGGCAGUAAGUGAUUCAUCAGUUUUCCACAGAAAACCAAUUUCAUUGCAGAUGUUCUGCAGACUCCCUGAAUUGUAGAAUCAUAUCAUCCAAUCCCAGCACGAGGAAGGUAGGAUUUUUUUUUUUAAAGGGUGGAAAAAAGGCUGUGCUUAGUCUUUUUAAUAGGAUUGAAUAUCAUUUGCUGUCUCAUCAGUUUUGUGAAAUAACCAUAAAGUAAUCAGCUUGCCAUUCUUUCCUUCCCUGUGCAGGCUAUCAACUUACUCACAAUGCUGAUUUCAUAGCAAGUGCAUAAGUGAAUAACUUGCAGGAGAGCAAAAUCUUCCUUUGAGGUUAAACAAAAUGUAACUGGGUUACAUAGUUGUCUCUCCUUCUUUUCUUCCUUUUUUCUCUUCUCCUUCAUCUUUCUUGCUUUUUUCAUUCCUUGCUUCCAUUCUUUCCUUCCUGUUUAAUGCUUCAAAAUAUAGAAAUUUCCCAUAGUAAUCAGCCACUAAUUUUCAUUGUCCAACAAACUUGCCUUUUUUCUUCCUUUUUUAAAAUAGAGUUUAUUUUUCUAAGAACCAGUAAUUAACUGGUUAAUUCAAUUCCGUUUUUUCACAAUGAGCCAGAAAUAAAGGAUAGACCUAAAAUGUACAUCUUGCUAGUGUGUGCAAUUUUGUUUAAUUCUAUUCUGUAUAACAUAUAUAAUCCACCCUACUAUAUUUCCACUGUAUUAAACUAUGUAGAUACAAAAUUCAAUUCUGAGAGCUGAAGGAGGGAAAGGAGACAAAGGAAUAUAUUAAGAUGAAAGUGAAAAGGAGUGGAGAAAGUUUGAAGCAGGGAAACCAGAAAAGUAGUUGGCAAGCAGCAGGAACCAGAAAGAGGUUUUUUUGGGGUUUUUUUGGGGGUUUUUUUUUGAGGAGGAGGAAUUAAUUUUAUUGAUACCUCCAAGAUGGAGUUGAAUUUAGCCCAUAGAGAAGAAGCUGAUAGUAGCAAAAUGCACAGAUAAAGUCAGCAGGUAAAUGUUCUAUACAGCUUUAAGUCUUUCUGUAAGUCUUCUAUUUCCCAUUUUGUUUUCUCUAUUGCUACUAUUCAUAACAUAGCAUAGAGAGAACAUUCCUCCAAACCUGUGAAUCAAUGAACUGAAAUCAGCAAGAUCCUGUUUAGAGUCAUAGAAUCAAAGAAUCAUUUAAUUUGUAAAAGACCUCUAAGAUCAUCAAAUCCAACCACUUCAAUCCACCACCAAACCAUGUCCCCAGGUACCACAUCUACAGGCAUUUUAUAUACUUCCAGGAUGAUGACUCAACCAGUUCCAUGGAAGCCUAUUCCAAUGCUUGACAACCUUUCCAUAAAGAAGUUUUUCCUAAUAUGCAUUCUAAUCCUCUCCUGGUGCAAUGUGGGGCCAGUUCCUCAUAUCCUAUCACUUGUUGUUCAGGCAAAGAAACUUCCCCACAAUCCCACCUUGCCACAACUUCCACUCAGGGAGUUGUAGAGAUCAAACAGGUCCCUCCUGAGUGUCCUGAGGGAUCCUCCUGAGGGAUCUCAGGCUAUACAACAGCAGCUUCCUCAGCUGCUCCUCAUAAGGCUUGGGCUCCAGACCCCUCACAGUCCUGCUGGACACACUCCAGCACCUCAAUGUCUUUGCAGUGUCAUCUUCUCCAGGCUGAACAGACCAAGUUACCUCAGCUGUUCCUCAAGGCUCUUCACCAUAUUUUUUGCCCUCCUUUGUGCACUUUUUAACAGCUUAAUGUCUUUCUCAUAUUGUACUACCCAAAACUACACACAGGACUCAAUGUGAGGCUGCAUCAGCAGGUAGGACAAGGUCAAACAGGACCUGCCUUUUACAAAUGCAGGCUGGCUCACCCUGAUGCUCUGAUUGUCCUGCAUGUGCCGUGUGAUGGCACUCAAGAUGAUCAGCUCCAUGAUCUUCCCUGGCAUUGAGGUCAAGCUGACAGAUCUGUAGUUCCCAGAUCGUUUUUCUAUCCCUUCUUGGAGAUGAGUGUCACAUUUACCAACUUCCACUGAACAGGGGCCUCCCUGGUUAUCCAGAGCUGCUGGUAAAUGAUUGAAAGUGUUUCAAUGUGCACUUCCCCAGUGCCUUAUCUUGUAUCUGUAUCAAAAAAAUAGUAUGUAAUUUGAUGUUGAAAAUUAAUUGUGAAAGUCCUAAAGAAGAAGCUUUUGUUCGGAGCUUGAGAAAACAGGAAAAUAUAUAUCCAAAUGACUUUUGUUGACCAGUUCAGCCACAGGAGUUCAACAUUUAACAGCUAAGCUAUACUACACCAGAAAACUAAGCCUAUCUGGGUUUUUUGGUACUCUGGCCAGUAUACAUGGCACAGUUCCCCAUCUAUGUUAGUAAAUUCACUACAUAUCAUAAGGAGGUGGCUUUGAAUGCUUGAGCCCAACUGAGUGUAUUUAUAAACAGCCACAGAGAAUAUAAACAGACACAGAGAAUUAAUUUCUAAGCCAUUUUGAAUGCAUUUCACAUGGAUGCAUGCUGCCUUCUUCCACUAACCCCCAUUAAAAAAAAAAAAAUCAUAGAAUUAGGGAGUCAUAAAAGAAGCAUCAGUUUCAACUUUCACAUCACUGGUUCUGCAGAAGGAUCUGAGAGUGCCCCAGCAAACUCUCUACUUCUUUAUUGCUUCUCCAGUUCAUUUUUUUCUCAGGCAAAACCCUUGUGUGGUUUCCCUCCUGUGACUCUUAGAAUAAACAAAGGAGUUCAAACUGCUGGUGCCCAUGUUUCCAGCCUAGAAUCCAUGUUUUCUUAAAAACGGUGCCACAGAAAUAGUAUCUUCAUUCUCAUUCAAGUUCUUUCUCUGCAAAGACAAUGGGGCAAAGCCUGGACUGGGUUUAAGCAUGACUUAAGAGCCUGUCUCCUAGGCUCUUUCUUUAUAAACUUAUAUCUGGCUCCAAACCACACAGGACCAGGAUGUUGGCUCAGGAUGUUUUCUCAACGAAAUAAAAAUGAAUUUGUAAUAUCUCCUAGAGGAGAGUGCACUCAAGCUACCUGUAUUUGCCCUAUGAAGAUUAUAGAAACAAAAGCUUGAGCCCAUACUAAAACUGUGAGCAUAUGCAGGUUUUCGCUCCUUCAAAAAUCUACAGAAUUUUUCCUGCAUGUCUCUAUUAAAUAGUGUUGUAAACAAUAUGGAUGACUAGCAAAUUUAAAUUCAAGUACAGGAUAAGAUACUUAAUUUCAAAGCUUUGGUUUACAUAGAAAGGAUGAACACUGAUUUUGUCAUUAGUCAUGCUUUCUCCUUGUGUAUCCAUAAAGAUGGAGCUAUGGAGUAAGUGCAAACCAGCGCAAACAGAUCUGUUCAGCCCUAAAUUCAAGUAUGGUGAAAAAUGAGAAAUUGCACCCUAAUAGCAAGGAAGAAUGGGUUUCUUAAUAUGUAAGUUUAUACAUAUAUAAAGAUAUAUGAUGGUUUAUGAACUAUUAUUUUUAAGAUCUACUCUUAAAGAAUUACAGACUUUCCUCUCCUGAAAGCCGUGCAGCUGUCUUACAGGGUGCCAGAGAUUGUAAGAUCAAGCACCCAAGGAGAAGAGUUUACACAAUUUUGUAAGAAUGAACUGUGACAGGACACAAAAAUAUGUUCCAGGAGAAAAAAAAUACUAUAGAUAUAUGGACAUAAAUAAAAAAAGGAAGUAAUUUCAGAGAAAAGCUUAAGGAGGACUUCAACAAGGAGAAGGCACUUGGCAACUGGGGACGAGAAAAUUUACCUCAUGCAGCCACUUGGAUUGAGGAGAGCAGCAUGUAAAAUGAAGAAAAGUUGAUUCUUACUGAAGUAUUGAAAAAACCUAUUGAAUUAAGUUUUUCCUUUAAGAUGCCUUGCUGGAGUUUUCUGUGUGAGAAAGAAUCAGCCUGCUAACUGCAGGCUGCAAGUGAAUAUGUGGGAAAAGAUUUUUCUUUCUAUGAUAUAGGUUACACUGACAUGUAGAAUGGAAGUUUAAUACUGUACUUUAUCAUUAGUCUAAUAAAAUUACAGAUAUCAGCUCCUUUAACAAAUUAAAGUUAUACCACAUGGGGAAAAGGAUUAAACCACGUGCAGAAUUAGGGUUAUCUUCACUCCUUUCUGGCCUUAGACCAUAGAAAUGAAAAGGACAGGUUGGAGAAAGUUGCUAGGAGACUGUAAUCACAAGUGUCAGAAUAAUACAUUUUUAUUUAAAAUAGGAAAUGUUGAUUAAUGAACAUACUUAACAGGUAAUGAGUAAAGGUGUUGAAAGCAUCUAUGUUCAAUCAAAUUUCAGGUGAAACAUUUAAUUUAUAUAUUGAAAAGCCAUUGAAAAUUGAAAGUCUUCAAGGUAAAGCUAACCAAGCCAAGCAGUUAAAACUGAAGGACACAACAGUUUCAGGAGUACUUCAGUAGAAGCCUCUAGAUACUAAGAAGCAAAAGAAAAUAUUUCCAAUGUGUACACUUACCCAAUAAGUGUAAAAUUAAAUAACAAAAGAGGAAAUUAUUUAGCUAUUAGAGUCCCAUGUAGAUAUGUUGUAGAAACUAAAGUGAGACAACUGCUUUGCAAGCAACAAAUUGAUUUAAAGGUAAGAUACUGGAGAAGAUGUUGUAUAUGUAGCAAAUUAAAAUGGGAAAAAACAAAGCAAUAAAUUAAAUCAAUGGUAAAGAAACUUCAGCCUAAAUGAAAAGGUAACUUCAUAAAGCAUGAAAAAAAGGGUCCUAGGAUUUAUUAUAUCAAAGCCUCCCACAGUCUCCACAUGUUGCUUUAAUUUGUGUCAAUUUUAACAGGUAUUACACCCAGAAAACACUAGCAUGAUAUUUUGUGCACAACAUUUAUGAUCCUUAGGUUCUUGGAACCAGGAGUCCGAGUUUUUCACACAGCUUGGAAUCUGAGACUACAAGACAUUGGCUCUCCUCUCUCACAUGUAGGUGUAAGUGGUAAUGCAUAAUAAGCAGUUUACUGGGAUGACAACCUCAGCUUCAUGAACAUAGAAUGGAUUGUGUCCUUAUUGAUUCAUUUCAGUGUCAAGAAAACCAGUCAACAAGAUUGUCCAUCCAAACCAAGUAAAAUAAUUUGACUGCCAGGAAAAAAUUACUUCCUAUAUGUCAAUAGACACCUGCAGAAAACAGGAAAUGAGAUACUGGUCCAAUGUCGGGCAGCUGAUCACUCAGCCUUCUAGCAACAACAAAAUCUUAUGCUAGAUACAAAUCUUGCUAAGUCUCCUAGCGAAAAAAAAAAACUGUAGUAACAGAAGAGGAAUCAUGAAAUGCUCUUGAAAUAAUGAUAGUUUGAAAUGAACUAAUCAUUCCAUCUUAAAUGUAGAAUAAUCAUACAAACAUAAAAUAUUUCUAUGGUGGUUUUAAUUGAUAAAUAAUAAAUCCAGACAUUUCUUUUUACCAAGCCAUCACUUAACUAAUUCUAAACUAAAUAUUUCUAAUUAAGUAUUAUAUGAAUAUGUUUAUAUCUAUAUACUUAUUAUUUCUAAUAAGCAAGACUAGCUGCAUGCUAUGAGAAAAUAGUCAUGCCUAAAACAAUUACAGUACAGGAAAAAUACAUUGUUGGUGAUGUUAGCUGAAAUGACAGCUUAUACAGAGACAGUGUAAUCUGAAAUAGUGUUUCACUUCUUAAAAAAAAAAUUUUAAAAACUAUUUUAAUAAUCAGCAAAUUCUCAAAUUUGAGAAAGCAUAUGAGAAACACAAAGUACAACUGAUAGUUUGUCCACUAUCCAGUAAACUGUACUAGUAAACUAAUACAGUUAGGAAAAAAUGUUUUGUUAAUUUGUAAUGGAGAACAGCAAAUGUACCUUGUGUGUACAAAAAAAAAAAA